rnacentral:lncRNA from 1 species
UCUCUUUCUGUGCAAUCACUAAAAGGGAUAGAACUGGCAUUCCCCACUCACAGGAGGCCUCAGGGAAGCUGUAUAAUCACAAGCACAGAUCACCUGAGGUCAGGAGUUCGAGACCAGUCUGGCCAACAAGGGGAAACUCCAUCUCUAUUAGAAAUACAAAAAUUAGCCAGGCAUCAUGGUGCAUGCCUCUAAUACCAGCUACUCAGGAGGCUAAGGCAAGAGAAUCACUUGAACCUGGAGGCAGAGGUUGCAGUGAGUCAAGAUUGCACCACUGCACUCCAGCCUGGGUGACAGAGUGAGACUGUCUCAAAAAAAAUAAAAAUAAAAAUAAAAAAAAGAUUAAGGAAACAGUAAUUCUAAAUAUAAGGAUGAUUAUUAUGUGAAGUUUACUACUAGGCCAGGCACUAGGCACAUCAGUUCAUACACGUGAUGCCAUCUAACCACAAUAGUGCUGUGAGGUGGGUGCUGUUAUUAUCUCCAUAUUACAAAUGGGGGUGGUUGGGGAGCUCUUAUCAAUUUUUAGUUGUAUUCAUUGAUGUAACACUCAAUUUCUCUGCAGAACAUAUAGCUUUUGUAUGGAAAAAUCAGGCAGAAAGAGACGUCUUGUGCCUGUUACCGUCUAUUUCUGUAAUUUACUACCAAAUAGCAAGCCACCAGAGAAGUGACCUUGACCUUUGGCUCUUGUUACCUCUCCUGCUACCUCCUGGCCUCUUGAGACCUGGGUGCGCCUGGAGCUACUCUCUUCCACAUGUUUGUUCUCUUCCUGAAUGAGGAGAUUGAGGGUUUUUAGUAUGUGCUGAUCUAUUUUCCUUGGGCCACCCAAGAAGUCAUAGAGCAAAGAGGGAUUAAAAUGCCUCUCUCCUGAGUGUCUCUUCAGGAGAGGACUAAAUAAUGGAAAAUGAACGUGAAGUGUCGUGUGAAGAAACCUUGGGUCAGAUGGCUGCUGAGGCCUCCUGAGUUAGUGGUUAGAUGGCCCACGCUUUGAGUCAACCUUCAGUUGGGAAAAGACUUGGAGGUUAUUCCCCAGAAGAAUGUGAGAUAAUACACUAGCGGCCCAGUGAGUCUUCUCAACCAUGAUUAACUGAGGAAGGCUGGGGAGAAGGUCAACAUAUCUUAUGCUAGAAGGUCCCAAGUGCAGCUGUGAAUUUGACACUGAGGGUCAUGUUGGCGAAUGUUCCUACAGCAAAGAUAAUGGAGGCAGCUGGGUGGGGAAGCAAGGUUGAAAAGGCAGGGGUUAUGAAAGUAGGAUAGGCUUGAGUUCGACUUUUCCCUCUGAGGAGACUUGGUUCCUGCCAAGAUGGAGUAGCUCCAUUCCUCCAAUCCCUACCUCUUAUAACUAAAAACCCUGAACAUAGCACAACAAACAUGCAAAGACUCUGAAAUGUGGAUUGGAGACGGCAGGCUGCUUAGGAAUCUCGGGACUUAAGGGAUGACUCAGCACAAAGUUUCCUGAGUUUCCAUAUUGAGUCCCAUCUGUCUCAUACAGGGUGCUGGAGAAGCCCAGAGCCCCAAACCAUCAACAGGCCCAGACAAAAAAAUCAUCCUAAGAAAGCCUGUUUUCUCCAGUCAACAUACCAGGAAAAGUGUGGAUUAACAGAACUGAAAACCUUGAUGACCAUAGCCACCAUGCUCCAGCCAACCAAAACCAACGGAAACGCUCCUUCUUUCUCUACAACCUUCCAGGUCUCCCACCCAGUGGUGUCAACUGAGCCAAACAGUGACCUAACCUUUCAUUUCCUAUCCAGCAGAAGCAGGCAUGCUCUGAUUCCUCUGUUGGGGUGGUAUUGGUGGGCUGAGUGGCGAGCUAAACCUCCAUUCCCAUCUGGAAGGAAAUAGACUGAAUUCAACAGUGUAAGGUGGAGCUAGUGGGCAUUCCUCACUCCUCACUUCACCCUAUAUAUCAGCAAAGCACAGUAGGAGCAAAAUACAAUAACCAAAAUAAAAACACUGGUUGAGUGUAACAGCAGAAUAAAUAUGACAGAUGAAAUAAUGAGUUUGCUUGAAGAUAGAACAAAAGAAAUUAUUCAAUUUAAACAACAGAAAGAAAAUAGAUUUUAAAAAACAACAAACAGAGCUCCAGGGACCUGUGGUAUAAUAUUUUAGAAAUCUAAUAUUUACAUUGUCAGAAUGUCAGAAAAUGAAGAAAAAGCGUGUUGGUCUGAAAAAAUGUAUAAGAAAGUAGUGGCUGAAAAUUUCCCAAAUAUGGUGAAAGGCAUAACCCUAAGAGAUUCAAGAA